UACGAGGGGGCAAGCGUUGUUCGGAUUUAUUGGGCGUAAAGGGUGCGUAGGCGGUUUGGCAAGUCUGAUGUGAAAUCUAUGGGCUCAACCCAUAGUCUGCAUCAGAAACUGCCGGGCUUGAGUAUGGGAGAGGUGAGUGGAAUUUCCGGUGUAGCGGUGAAAUGCGCAGAUAUCAGGAGGAACACCGGUGGCGAAGGCGGGUCUCUGGGCAUUAACUGACGCUGAGGAGCGAAAGCAUGGGGAGCGAACAGG
rnacentral:rRNA from 1 species